rfam:Clostridium tetanomorphum DSM 665 contig112, whole genome shotgun sequence.
AAAUAAUAUAUGUAAUGGAGUUUUCUGUAAAGUUUUGUAGAAAUUAAAAGGGAAUGAGGUUUGAAUCCUCAACGGUCCGGCCACUGUAAUUGGUGAGCUACUUCCAGUAUGCCAUUGAGAAUAUUCUUGAGAAGGCGGAAGUAAAGCUAUGAUCCAUAAGUCAGGAUAUCUGCUUCAUUAAUUAUAAUUGA